GCUCAGAUUGAACGCUGGCGGCAGGCCUAACAUGCAAGUCGAACGGAACAGGAAGCAGCUUGCUGCUUCGCUGACGAGUGGCGGACGGGUGAGUAAUGUCUGGGAAGCUACGAUGGAGGAUAACUACUGGAAACGGUAGCUAAUACCGCAUAAUGUCGCAAGACCAAAGAGGGGACCUUCGGGCCUCUUGCCAUCGGAUGUNUNCCAGAUGGGAUUAGCUUGUUGGUGGGGUAACGGCUCACCAGGCGACGAUCCUGGCUGGUCUGAGAUGACCAGCCACACUGGAACUGAGAUACGGUCCAGACUCCUACGGAGGCAGCAGUGGGGAANUAUUGCACAAUGGGCGCAAGCCUGAUGCAGCCAUGCCGCGUGUAUGAAGAAGGCCUAUGNAAAGUACUUUCAGCGGGGAGGAAGGGAGUAAAGUUAAUAUUUGCUCAUUGAUUACCCGCAGAAGAAGCACCGGCUAACUCCGUGCCAGCAGCCGGUAAUACGGAGGUGCAAGCGUUAAUCGAAUUACUGGGCGUAAAGCGCACGCAGGCGGUUUGUUAAGUCAGAUGUGAAAUCCCCGGGCUCAACCUGGGAACUGCAUCUGAUACUGGCAAGCUUGAGUCUCGUAGAGGGGAAUUCAGGUGUAGCAGUGAAAAGGAGAUCUGGAGAAUACCGGUGGCGAAGGCGGCCCCUGGACGAAGACUGAACUCAGGUGCGAAAGCGUGGAGCAAACAGGAUUAGAUACCCUGGUAGUCCACGCCGUAACGAUGUCGACUUGAGGUUGUGCCCUGAGGCGGCUUCCGGAGCAACGCGUUGCCGACCGCCUGGGGAGUACGGCCGCAAGNUUAAACUCAUAAUUGACGGGGGCCCGCGCGUGUGGAUAUGUGGUUAAUUCGAUGCAACGCGAAGAACCUUACCUGGUCUUGACAUCCACGGAAGUUUUCAGAGAUGAGAAUGUGCCUUCGGGAACCGUGAGACAGGUGCUGCAUGGCUGUCGUCAGCUCGUGUUGUGAAGAAAUGUUGGUUAAGUCCCGCAACGAGCGCAACCCUUGAUCUUAGUUGCCAGCAUUCAGUUGGGCUCUAAGGUGACUGCCGGUGAGCAAACCGGAGGAAGGUGGGAUGAGUCAAAUCAUCAUGCCCCAUGACCUGCUGCACANUGCUACAAUGGACAGAACAAAGGCAGCGAAACCGCGAGGUUAAGCCAAUCCCACAAAUCUGNUCUCAGUUCGGAUCGCAGUCUGCAACUCGACUGCGUGAAGCUGGAAUCGCUAGUAAUCGCGGAUCAGCAUGCUGCGGUGAAUACGUUCCCGGGCCUUGUACACACCGCCCGUCACACCAUGGAGUGGGUUGCUCCAGAAGUAGCUAGUUUAACCGCAAGGGACGGUUACCGGAGUGAUUCAUGACUGGGUGAAGUCGUAAGGUAGCCGUAGGGGAACCUGCGGCUG
rnacentral:rRNA from 1 species